GGUGGCGGCCCCGGUAGGGGUCGUCAUUUGCCACAUAUCUUAGUGGCAUUGGCGGCCAUUUUGGCUGUUGCUAAUGUUGUUUCUGCUGAUCCUUAUGUAUAUGCUUCUCCACCUCCACCACCUUACGAGUACAAGUCGCCACCCCCUCCUUCUCCCUCUCCACCACCGCCUUAUGAGUACAAGUCGCCACCACCUCCUUCUCCAUCUCCUCCACCGCCAUAUGAAUACAAGUCGCCACCACCUCCUUCACCAUCACCUCCACCACCAUACUACUACUCUUCCCCACCACCUCCGAAGAAGUCACCUCCACCACCAUACUACUACUCCUCUCCACCACCACCCGAGAAGUCACCUCCUCCACCAUACUACUACUCCUCUCCUCCACCCCCGGAGAAGUCACCUCCACCACCUUACUACUACUCUUCUCCACCACCCCCCAAGAAGUCACCUCCACCUCCAUACUACUAUAGUUCUCCACCACCACCCGAGAAGUCACCUCCACCACCUUACUACUAUUCUUCUCCUCCACCACCCGAGAAGUCACCUCCACCACCAUACUACUACUACUCUCCUCCACCACCCAAGAAGUCACCUCCACCUCCAUACUACUACAGUUCUCCACCACCACCAGUUAAGUAUCCUCCUCCACCAUACUACUACCCUUCUCCACCACCACCCAAGGAAUCACCUCCUCCACCAUACUACUACUCCUCACCACCACCACCCAAGAAGUCACCCCCACCCCCAUACUACUACUCCUCUCCUCCACCACCAGUUAAAUAUCCUCCUCCACCAUACUACUACUCUUCCCCACCACCACCAGUUAAGUACCCUCCUCCACCAUAUUACUACACUUCUCCUCCACCACCUACUCCUUACUAUCCUCCUCAUCACCCCUUGAUUGUUAAGGUUGUAGGAAAAGUCUACUGCUACAGAUGUUAUGACUGGAAAUACCCAAAGAAAUCCCAUGACAA
rnacentral:lncRNA from 1 species